rnacentral:piRNA from 1 species
AAUUGGAUCGUCAUGAUAUGUAG